rnacentral:rRNA from 1 species
UACGGAGGGUGCAAACGUUGCUCGGAAUCAUUGGGCGUAAAGCGCACGUAGGCGGUUCGAAAAGUCGGAUGUGAAAGCCCUCGGCUUAACUGAGGAAGUGCAUUCGAAACUCUCGAGCUAGAAUAUGGAAGAGGGUCGCGGAAUUCUCGGUGUAGAGGUGAAAUUCGUAGAUAUCGGGAGGAACACCAGUGGCGAAGGCGGCGACCUGGGCCAAUAUUGACGCUGAGGUGCGAAAGCGUGGGGAGCAAACAGG